rnacentral:rRNA from 1 species
AACGCGAAGAACCUUACCCAGGUUUGACAUCCUUGGAAUUUUGCCGAAAGGCAAGAGUGCUUUAUUGAGCCAAGUGACAGGUGAUGCAUGGCCGUCGUCAGCUCGUGUCGUGAGAUGUUUGGUUAAGUCCAUCAACGAGCGCAACCCUUGUGAUUAGUUGAAUUUUUCUAAUCAGACUGCCCUGGUAACAGGGAGGAAGGAGGGGAUGAUGUCAGGUCCGUAUUUCCCUUAUAUCUGGGGCUACAAACACGCUACAAUGGCCGGUACAAAGGGCAGCCAAGUCGCAAGACGGAGCAAAUCCCAUCAAAGCCGGUCCCAGUUCGGAUAGCAGGCUGAAACUCGCCUGCUUGAAGUCGGAAUCGCUAGUAACGGUAGGUCAGCUAUACUACCGUGAAUACGUUCCCGGGCCUUGUACACACCGUGUCGA